AACGAACGCUGGCGGCGCGUUUUAAGCAUGCAAGUCGAACGGUAGGGAUCCUUCGGGAUUCCGAGAGUGGCGAACGGGUGAGUAACACGUAGAUGAUCUGCCUUGAAGUUGGGGAUAGCCCAUAGAAAUAUGGGGUAAUACCGAAUAAUUUUUUACCAUUUUGAUGGUUUAAGGAAAGGGGCUUCGGCCUCGCUUUAAGAUGAGUCUGCGGCUGAUUAGCUAGUUGGUAAGGUAAUGGCUUACCAAGGCGACGAUCAGUAGCCGGCCUGAGAGGGUGACCGGCCACAUUGGGACUGAGACACGGCCCAA
rnacentral:rRNA from 1 species